AAGAUCUGUGGCGCCGAGC
rnacentral:miRNA from 1 species